CUCCGGGAGAGCGCGGGAGAGAGAGAGGAUUCUCGCCUCUCCUGUCAUCAUCGUCCCGAGGCCAUCUCGCCACACCAGGUACCUGGUUGCGUCCCGAGGGGACAUCGAGAUAGUAC
ensembl:ncRNA K04A8.16 ncRNA